GCACGUUUUCAUUUUUAUUUUUCUUUUUCUCUUUUUUUUUCGACUGCGACGUGUUCGCGCAUAAGUGUGCAGUUUAGCGAGUCUACUUUUCGCAUUAUACCGCGGCAAUUAGGCCGGGGUUACACAUAAAUGCUUAACGGCACCGCAAUGAUUGUCGAAACGGGGCCGUUGUUCCCUCCACCGCAGAAAGCGAAUGGCAGCUUUAAAUUGCCGGCCGCACGCACGUCAUCAUCUCGUCGACGGAUAACUGCACACACGAUCCUUCUCUCGUGCCGUUGCAAUCUCUGAUUCGACGCAUGGGUGCCACUUGAGCUUUUAUCCGAAUGAUCGUCCGCGACGAAAGGCCUCGGAUGACAGGAGGAUCGAAGCGAUCGCUUUUUUCCUACCAUCUGACAAUGCCACGUGCGUGUUUGAUUUUAAAGUGUCUAUCGAUGCAGCCGUGUCCUUUACCGGCUGUCGUGCUGUUCGAUGAUGUCCGUGAAGACGCAACGUGCAACAUUAAUGACGUGCCUGCUGUGCUACGACCGACUUUAUCAGGGAUGCCAGGUUGCGAUACCUGGAUCGUACAACCGUUAUCGAGAAGAGGACGAGUGGGGGGGGGGGUCCAGCUGGAUCGCGUAUAUUGGUUCUUUACACGUCGUACACAUCGUUCUCUCAGAAGAGACACAAUCGAAAAUAUACAAACAAAUAUAUAUAUAUGUAUAAUCCGUGUCGCGACUUGUUGAUCAUUCAUCAAUCCCUUGUAUAUACAUGGUUGGGAAGAUGCGAUGAUAACAGCCUAAUAAUCUCGGCAGGCGUUUUCAAAUAAAUUUCAGCGGAUCUAGUUAGCAGAUAUUUCUUUCGUUGUAUACACGUGGCGUGUAUCGCAACUUUCUAUGUCAAUAUAAAACGUGUGACAUUUUUUUGAUAUCCGUGACAUCCACGCGCCGUUGACAAUGAAUGAUUACAACACAAAGUUAUCGCGAUAGCGUUACAUCGGCGCUCUUACAUCAGGCGCUAUAUUAUAAUUCUCUCGAAAGAGAUAAUAUCUCUGUAUAACUUGCGCCAUAAUAUUAUAAGGGACGAGUUAUAUCGCUGUUAUGUGUUAUUAAUCUAUAACCUGUUUCCUUUGUCCGCGUCUGGCAUGAAUUAUACACGUAAGAACAGCAAUCUGGCGCGCGAGGAUCGCGCUUAUCCUUCGAACUGUUGAAUUAAUUACUCGACUUCCAUGUCUUAUUAGAAGUAGCGAAACAAAUUACGACACGAUUAUAUAGAUAUGACGCGAUCCAAUCAACAGAGUGCUCGGCAAAUCUAAAGUGACAUGGAAAUUUAAAAAAUUAUGUUGUGACUAUAAUUCAACAAAAAUAGUCUAAAUUUCAUAUUUAAUAGAACCUUGUUUUCGAUUUUGAUUUUAAUCAAGAUAAAGUUGAUCCACUUAUAUAUCAAAAUUAAUAGAGUGAAAAGUUAUAUAUUUCAUGUAAUAUAUAUUUUUUAAUAUACAUAAACUUUGAUUAAUAUAUAAUUUCUUCUAUAUUUUCUGUCGUUCAAGAUUGAUCGAUAUCUAUUAUACGAUAAUAAGAAUUAAAAAAUUGCAGUAAAUGAUAGCCUGUUUGUCGAGUUUUCAUUCAAAAAAAAAAAAC